rnacentral:tRNA from 1 species
AUUACUUUGGCAGAUAAGUGUUUUAAAUUUAGAAUUUAAAUAUAUAUAUACAAUA